rnacentral:rRNA from 1 species
UACGGAGAGUGCAAGCGUUGCUCGGAAUUAUUGGGCGUAAAGGGUAGGUAGGUGGUCUCAUUUGUCUGGGGUGAAAGCCCUGAGCUUAACUCAAGAAGUGCCCCAGAAACGGUGAGACUGGAGUCCUGGAGAGGGUCGUGGAAUUCCCGGUGUAGCGGUGAAAUGCGUAGAGAUCGGGAGGAACACCAGAGGCGAAAGCGGCGACCUGGACAGGUACUGACACUCAACUACGAAAGCGUGGGGAGCAAACAGG